GCGGACGUGGCGGAAUGGCAGACGCGCAAGAUUCAGAUUCUUGUCCUCUAACGAGUGGUGUGGGUUCAAGUCCCAUCGUCCGCA
rnacentral:tRNA from 1 species